GAAGAAGAGGAAGAAGGAUGCACGAGUUCUAACAACGAUGGUAUAUGUGGUUUCAGAGAGAUGAUUAUCAGCAGCAGCCGGCGAUGAUUUUGAUGUUAAAGUUUUUCAGUCUAACAUCAAUUAUGGUCAUGGUUGUUUUUACUUUCUUCCUUCUGGUACUGCCGCUUGUUCUGCCACCAUUGCCACCGCCACCACUCUUCCUUCUCUUUGUUCCAGUCUUAAUCAUGAGCGUCCUCAUCUUCUUGGCUUUUUCUCCAUCCAAGGUUCCCAACACAGAAUCCAUUUCUGUUUGAUAUAUAUGAAGCAUUGAACAUCUGCAAAAGUAGUACGUACUCUAGCCACUGAUGAUCAAUCUUGAACAAGGUUAGCAUAUGCCAUCUAGCUACAUAGUAAGAGUAUAGAGAUUCACAUUUUCUUUUCCUUUCUGUGUACACAACUUUGUACAUAGGUUUGAGUCCUGAAGUUAAGUACCCUGUCUCCAAAAUGCAGGGGAAGGCUUCGUUACAAGUCCUCUUUAACUCCUAGUAGAUAACUAGAUAUGUGAUUUGCUAUUCAUCACAUGUAUGAUAGACGAUCCUCCUCUUAUCAUCCGUCGCUAAGCAAAAUAGGAAUUUUGGGAUAUGAUUUUUUAUUCUUCGCAACUACACAUACACAGUUUGCUUUCAUUAUAAAAUGAUAUCAGUUUCUUUCUUCUUUUCAUUGGGCUCCAAUGAUACACAAAC
rnacentral:misc_RNA from 1 species